GCGAAAUUUACAGAACAGGCUUAAUCGCCGGGCCUCUUGGCAGCAGGAUUAUCCUGCGGGACUGAU
rnacentral:ncRNA from 2 species